UACGUAUGGAGCAAGCGUUAUCCGGAUUUACUGGGUGUAAAGGGAGUGUAGGUGGCCAGGCAAGUCAGAAGUGAAAGCCCGGGGCUCAACCCCGGGACUGCUUUUGAAACUGCAGGGCUAGAGUGCAGGAGGGGCAAGUGGAAUUCCUAGUGUAGCGGUGAAAUGCGUAGAUAUUAGGAGGAACACCAGUGGCGAAGGCGGCUUGCUGGACUGUAACUGACACUGAGGCUCGAAAGCGUGGGGAGCAAACAGG
rnacentral:rRNA from 4 species